rnacentral:lncRNA from 1 species
GCCAUAUUAGCUUCAUCUAUAUCUUUUGCUGAAGCAUUUUAAAAUAAGACACAAAUCUAACAGUUCACCCGUAACUGCUUAAGUAUACAUCACCAACAUUUAGCUUAUUAAUGUUUUAUGACAUAAACCCAGUAUCAUUAUUGCAUCUAACAAAAUUAACAGUAUCAAAAUAUCUUUGUGAUCAAUAGCUUUUCACAUUCCUAUUUCCUCAAAUGUCUUGAAAAUGUUUUUUCCCUUGGUUUGUCACUAUAUUUUUGAAAUCCUCUUUUGUAGCUUUCUCUCUUUGUGCUCACAUGGUUUUCCAUGUAUUUAAUCAUUCGGGC